CUACGGGGUGCAGCAGUGGGGAAUAUUGCACAAUGGAGGAAACUCUGAUGCAGCAACGCCGCGUGGAGGAUGACACUUUUCGGAGCGUAAACUCCUUUUAUAUAGGAAGAAGAUGACGGUACUAUAUGAAUAAGCGCCGGCUAAUUCCGUGCCAGCAGCCGCGGUAAUACGGAGGGCGCAAGCGUUACUCGGAAUCACUGGGCGUAAAGAGCGUGUAGGCGGAUUAAAAAGUCAGAAGUGAAAUCCUAUAGCUUAACUAUAGAACUGCUUCUGAAACUCUUAAUCUAGAAUAUGGGAGAGGUAGAUGGAAUUUCUGGUGUAGGGGUAAAAUCCGUAGAGAUCAGAAGGAAUACCGAUUGCGAAGGCGAUCUACUAGAACAUUAUUGACGCUGAGACGCGAAAGCGUGGGGAGCAAACAGGAUUAGAUACCCCUGUAGUC
rnacentral:rRNA from 1 species